rnacentral:rRNA from 1 species
AAAUUGAAGAGUUUGAUCAUGGCUCAGAUUGAACGCUGGCGGCAGGCCUAACACAUGCAAGUCGAACGGUAACAGGAAGCAGCUUGCUGCUUUGCUGACGAGUGGCGGACGGGUGAGUAAUGUCUGGGAAACUGCCUGAUGGAGGGGGAUAACUACUGGAAACGGUGGCUAAUACCGCAUAAUGUCGCAAGACCAAAGAGGGGGACCUUCGGGCCUCUUGCCAUCAGAUGUGCCCAGAUGGGAUUAGCUUGUUGGUGAGGUAACGGCUCACCAAGGCGACGAUCCCUAGCUGGUCUGAGAGGAUGACCAGCCACACUGGAACUGAGACACGGUCCAGACUCCUACGGGAGGCAGCAGUGGGGAAUAUUGCACAAUGGGCGCAAGCCUGAUGCAGCCAUGCCGCGUGUAUGAAGAAGGCCUUCGGGUUGUAAAGUACUUUCAGCGGGGAGGAAGGUGUUGCGGUUAAUAACCGCAGCAAUUGACGUUACCCGCAGAAGAAGCACCGGCUAACUCCGUGCCAGCAGCCGCGGUAAUACGGAGGGUGCAAGCGUUAAUCGGAAUUACUGGGCGUAAAGCGCACGCAGGCGGUCUGUCAAGUCGGAUGUGAAAUCCCCGGGCUCAACCUGGGAACUGCAUUCGAAACUGGCAGGCUUGAGUCUUGUAGAGGGGGGUAGAAUUCCAGGUGUAGCGGUGAAAUGCGUAGAGAUCUGGAGGAAUACCGGUGGCGAAGGCGGCCCCCUGGACAAAGACUGACGCUCAGGUGCGAAAGCGUGGGGAGCAAACAGGAUUAGAUACCCUGGUAGUCCACGCCGUAAACGAUGUCUACUUGGAGGUUGUGCCCUUGAGGCGUGGCUUCCGGAGCUAACGCGUUAAGUAGACCGCCUGGGGAGUACGGCCGCAAGGUUAAAACUCAAAUGAAUUGACGGGGGCCCGCACAAGCGGUGGAGCAUGUGGUUUAAUUCGAUGCAACGCGAAGAACCUUACCUGGUCUUGACAUCCACAGAACUUUCCAGAGAUGGAUUGGUGCCUUCGGGAACUGUGAGACAGGUGCUGCAUGGCUGUCGUCAGCUCGUGUUGUGAAAUGUUGGGUUAAGUCCCGCAACGAGCGCAACCCUUAUCCUUUGUUGCCAGCGGUCCGGCCGGGAACUCAAAGGAGACUGCCAGUGAUAAACUGGAGGAAGGUGGGGAUGACGUCAAGUCAUCAUGGCCCUUACGACCAGGGCUACACACGUGCUACAAUGGCGCAUACAAAGAGAAGCGACCUCGCGAGAGCAAGCGGACCUCAUAAAGUGCGUCGUAGUCCGGAUUGGAGUCUGCAACUCGACUCCAUGAAGUCGGAAUCGCUAGUAAUCGUGGAUCAGAAUGCCACGGUGAAUACGUUCCCGGGCCUUGUACACACCGCCCGUCACACCAUGGGAGUGGGUUGCAAAAGAAGUAGGUAGCUUAACCUUCGGGAGGGCGCUUACCACUUUGUGAUUCAUGACUGGGGUGAAGUCGUAACAAGGUAACCGUAGGGGAACCUGCGGUUGGAUCACCUCCUUACCUUAAAGAAGC